AAAAAGAAAAGCUGAAACCUUUCAAAACCUCCCCAACGAUCGGCCUCCCACCACCAUUCGCACAUCCGCCGCACCGCCACCAGAUCGACGGCCAACGAAGCGCGAUAACGGGUUUUUAAAGCCCCCUGGUGAGUUUCUCUUUUUCUCUUUUUAUUUUCGUUUUAAGAAAUAAAAAUAAAAAUAAGCAAAACGAUAAGAAAUAGGAAAAAAACGAAAGAUUCAAAUCAAAAACCAGGAAAUCACCUUGGUUUUCUUUGCUCUUUAUUUCUUAGUAUUCAUGAAAAAGAAGGGGCAAAGAAAUCGAAAAAAUGGCUUUUUAUAGCCGAGUAUUACAAUCGUUCUUUUUCUUUUUUCAUUUUCUCUGUUGUUUCUUCUUUUUUUGCCCUGGUUGUUGCGUGUUUGGUUUUAGUUUUGCAGGUGCUGCAGGUGCAAGUGGGUGAGGGGACAUGCGGCGCAGUGGCAGUGCUGGCAUGGUAGAGGUUAGGGCGGCGGCAAAGGCUAGGGUUAGGGGCUAGGGUUUUUCUUUUCUUUUUUCUGAAAAUGGGUAUUGGGUUUUGAUAAUUGGGCUAGGUUUGGGUUGUAUUUGGGUUUGGUUUAAUUUGGGCUUAUUGGGCUACUUGGGCUGUUAUUUGGUGAGGCCCGGGCAAAAAUUUGGGCUCUACAUCUAUUAUACUUUUUUUUUAUGAUUUUCUAUCAUUUCUAUUGUUUUUUAUUAACAUUUUAAUGAUUUUAAGUACAAAAUGUCUUCUUGGAACGAGAAUGGGCAGAAAGUCGACUUAUGAGAAUUUCAAGCCUUUAAAGUAAAAAGAAGAGUAAAAACUUUUGUUUUUAUUAGAGGCGAAAUUAGAAAUAUUUUUUAGAAUGCCGAAAUUAAAUUGUAUGUUUUUAUAAUAGUAAAAAUACAAUUUCACCAUUUUAAUAUAUAUAUCUUUAUAAUUUUUAAAUGAUUAAAUCAAUUUUUUUAUCAAUUUUAGGGGGCAAAGUACAAUUUUACCUUAACUAAUUUAAAUUUUAUAAACUUUAAAGGGGCCUAAAUAGAUAUUUUUUUAUUUUAAGGGAGUUCGGACCCCUGCUAGCCCCUGGCUACACCCC
rnacentral:lncRNA from 1 species